UACGAAGGGGGCUAGCGUUGUUCGGAUUUACUGGGCGUAAAGCGCACGUAGGCGGCUCGUUAAGUCGAGGGUGAAAUCCUGGAGCUCAACUCCAGAACUGCCUUCGAUACUGGCGAUCUAGAGUCCGGAAGAGGUGAGUGGAACUCCUAGUGUAGAGGUGGAAUUCGUAGAUAUUAGGAAGAACACCAGUGGCGAAGGCGACUCACUGGUCCGGUACUGACGCUGAGGUGCGAAAGCGUGGGGAGCAAACAGG
rnacentral:rRNA from 1 species